AUUGAACGCUGGCGGCAUGCCUAACACAUGCAAGUCGAGCGGAGCGGCGGACGGGUGAGUAAUGCCUAGGAAUCUGCCUGGUAGUGGGGGAUAACGUCCGGAAACGGGCGCUAAUACCGCAUCCUCUCCAAUUAGCCUAGGUUGGAUUAGCUAUUCGGUGGGGUAAAGGCCUACCAAUGGGCCGAUCCGUAACUGGUCUGAGAGGAUGAUCAGUCACACUGGAAAUGAGACACGGUCCAGACUCGUACGGGAGGCAGCAGCGGGGAAUAUUGGAAAAUGGGCGAAAGCCUGAUCCAGCCAUGCCGGGUGUGUGAAGAAGGUCUUCGGAUUGUAAAGCACUUGAAGUUGGGAGGCGGUACCAACAGAAUAAGCACCGGCUAACUUCGUGCCAGCCGCCGCGGUAAUAC
rnacentral:rRNA from 1 species